rnacentral:rRNA from 1 species
CCUACGGGAGGCAGCAGUGAGGAAUAUUGGUCAAUGGGCGCGAGCCUGAACCAGCCAAGUCGCGUGAGGGAAGACGGUCCUAUGGAUUGUAAACCUCUUUUGUCGGGGAGCAAAAGACGCCACGUGUGGCGUUCCGAGAGUACCCGAAGAAAAAGCAUCGGCUAACUCCGUGCCAGCAGCCGCGGUAAUACGGAGGAUGCGAGCGUAAACCGGUUUUAUUGGGUUUAAGGGGGGCGCAGGCGGAAGAGCAAGUCAGCGGUAAAAUUGAGAGGCUCAACCUCUUCGAGCCGUUGAAACUGGUUUUCUUGAGUGAGCUAGAAGUAUACGGAAUGCGUGGUGUAGCGGUGAACUGCCUAGAUAUCACGCAGAACUCCAAUUGCGACGGCAGCAUACCGGCGCUCAACUGACGCUCAUGCACGAAAGUGUGGGUAUCGAACAGGAUUAGAUACCCGAGUAGUC